UACGUAGGGUGCUAGCGUUGUUCGGAAUCACUGGGCGUAAAGGGCGCGUAGGCGGUUCGUUAAGUCGGAUGUGAAAGCCCUCGGCUCAACUGAGGAAGUGCACCCGAAACUGGCGAGCUUGAGUACGAAAGAGGAUCGCGGAAUUCCCGGUGUAGAGGUGAAAUUCGUAGAUAUCGGGAGGAACACCGGUGGCGAAGGCGGCGAUCUGGGUCGAUACUGACGCGUGAGGUGCGAAAGCGUGGGGAGCAAACAGG
rnacentral:rRNA from 1 species